GAUGAAGAACGCAGUGAAAUGCGCUAAGUAAUGUGAAUUGCAGAAUUCAGUGAAUCAUCGAAUCUUUGAACGCACAUUGCGCCCGCCAGUAUUCUGGCGGGCAUGCCUGUCUGAGCGUCAUUUCAACCCUCAUGCCCCUAGGGCGUGGUGUUGGGGAUCGGCCAAAGCCCGCGAGGGACGGCCGGCCCCUAAAUCUAGUGGCGGACCCGUCGUGGCCUCCUCUGCGAAGUAGUGAUAUUCCGCAUCGGAGAGCGACGAGCCCCUGCCGUUAAACCCCCAACUUUCCAAGGUUGACCUCAGAUCAGGUAGGAAUACCCGCUGAACUUAAGCAUAUCAAUAAGCGGAGGA
rnacentral:misc_RNA from 1 species